CUUAAAACGAGAGUUUGAUCCUGGCUCAGGACGAACGCUGGCGGUAUGCCUAAUACAUGCAAGUCGAACGCUGAAACACUCUGCUUGCAGAGUGUGGAUGAGUGGCGAACGGGUGAGUAACACGUGGGGAACCUGCCCAUAAGAGGGGGAUAACAUCCGGAAACGGGUGCUAAUACCGCAUAGGUGAUCAUAGCGCAUGCUUAGAUCAUUAAAGAUGGCUUCGGCUAUCGCUUAUGGAUGGCCCCGCGGCGUAUUAGCUAGUUGGUGAGGUAAUGGCUCACCAAGGCUGUGAUACGUAGCCGACCUGAGAGGGUGAUCGGCCACACUGGAACUGAGACA
rnacentral:rRNA from 1 species